GCAAGUUGAACGAGAAGUUUUGAAAAGAUCCUUCGGGAGAAGUUCAAAACAGACAGUAGCGAACGGGUGAGUAACGCGUGAAUAACCAACCCUCCACAGGGGGACAACAUCUGGAAACGGAUGCUAAUACCGCAUAAGACCACGGUGUCGCAUGGCACAGGGGUAAAAACUACGGUGGUGGAGGACGGAUUCGCGUUCCAUUAGCUAGUAGGUAGGGUAAUGGCCUACCUAGGCGACGAUGGAUAGCCGAGCUGAGAGGCUGAUC
rnacentral:rRNA from 1 species